GAAAAUAUAGUUAAAAUGUGUCCCAUCUUCCCCCAUCCUACUGUAUCUAUCAGGGCGGGGCCAGCUGGCACGUUUUUAUCGACAUUCACAAGUUUUGUACGAAAUCAGGUUAUUGGACGCUUAUUUUCAAUAAGUUACAAGGUUUUAAAUAGCGCUUAUGGUUUGAAGUAUUUUCUUCUAAGCUUCCUCAUAUAGCAAGCAAUCAUUCUAUGUUGGCUUCCUUGACACCAGUGAAGAAUCCUCCGGUACGUUACAGAUUAAGCUGGUGGGAAGUGUUAGAGGUUGGUAGCAAACCCAUCUACGGUGUUUGUAUGAGUUACAAGAUACGUUUAGCGGUUAGCAGAUAACGUGGGGUGGGGGUGACUAUUAACCAGCACUCGACCUUUUCAAUAACUAUUUCUCUCAACGCAGUUUUACUUUGUAUGAGGUUAACAAGUUGCAAUAAAUGCCUGAGGAACAAGGAUUAGAAUCUGCUCCAUUGAACGUUGAAAGUGGAGAAGGUGACAACCAGCAGGAAGAGGUUUUGAACCAGGAAUCUGAAACCAUCAAUGGUGAUCUACAAUCAUCAUCAAGUCUAAUAUAUGGAUUGAACGAUAAACCACCGUGGUAUCUUUGUGUGGCCUUUGGGUUACAGCAUUAUCUGGUAGCCAUCGGAUCUUUGGUUGGCAUCCCGCUGAUGGUGUCAUACAAGUUAUGCAUACCUGAUGACGUAGCGGGGAAUGUGGGACGCGCCAACUUGAUCAGCACAACGUUCGUGGUAUCAGGGGUGUGUACGUUAUUGCAAACUACGAUAGGGAACAGACUUCCGAUCAUGCAAGGAAACUCCAUCGCGUUUUAUCCACCAUUGCUCGCUAUCUUGGCACUCCCUCACAACCAUUGCCCUCCAGCGCUACCUACCGGUUACAUGAAUUCAAGUGUGACGUUGUACAACGACAGUGGUCUCAUCGUCGACGGGCAAGAAGUUUGGCAACGCAGGAUAAGAGAGGUACAAGGGGCCAUCACAGUCAGUGCUUGUUUAGAAGUCCUUCUUGGCGCCACAGGAGCAGUUGGUUUCCUUAUGAGGUUUGUCGGCCCAUUGACCAUCGUGCCCACUGUCACGUUGAUUGGAUUGGACCUGUUUACCACUGCUGCCCAUUUUGAACAGGUUCAAUGGGGAAUCGCUUUUUUCACAGUUGCAGUGCUGGCUCUUUGCUCUCAGUAUCUGAAGUACGUAGACGUUCCUUUCCCCAAGUUUAGUUUUCGUCGUCGGGAAUGUUACGUUGAUAGAAGUGGGUUCUUUAGGAUGUUCCCGGUUCUGAUUGCAUUGUUAUCAGCGUGGCUACUAUGCUACAUAUUCACCGUCACCAAUGUUUUCCCAAACGACCCAACCAAACCAUACUACAAAGCAAGGACAGAUAUUCGGGCCAAUGUUAUAUAUAAUAGUCCGUGGUUCCGCUUCCCCUACCCCGGACAGUGGGGUUUGCCUGUUGUAACGGUUGGUGGGGUCAUUGGGAUGUUGGUUGCUGUUAUAUGCAGCACCAUUGAAUCUAUUGGUGAUUACCACGCGUGUGCUCGCCUAGCUAACGUACCGCCGCCCCCAAGCCAUGCUUUGAACAGAGGAAUACUAAUGGAAGGAAUUGGAGUGAUGUUGGCUGGUUUAAUGGGAACUGGAUCCGGGACAACGUCGUUUACUCAAAACAUUGCGGCGAUCGGGAUAACUCGUGUAGGAAGCAGAGUGGUUCUUCAAACGGCUGGCAUCUUAUUCAUGCUUCUUGGUUACUUCAGUAAGUUUGGAAGCAUAUUCGUUACUUUACCUGAUCCUGUGAUGGGCGGAAUGUUCUUCGCUAUGUUUGGGAUGAUAUCAGCUGUUGGAUUAUCCAAUCUCAAAUACGUUGACCUCGAUUCGAACAGAAACAUCUUUGUUAUUGGAGUCUCCUUAUUCACGGGGUUGUCGGUGGCAAAUUGGACCAAAGCAAAUUCUUCUGCGAUCAAAACUGGAGUGACCGAAGUCGACCAGAUAUUCAAAAUCGUUCUGUCAUCAGCUAUGUUGGUGGGAGGGCUGGUCGGGUUUUUCUUUGACAACACUUUGCCUGGUACCGAAACCGAGCGAGGUUUGAAAGCAUUUAACAAGCACCAAGUCAACGAAAACGAGGAAAACAUCAGCUUAUCGAGGAUCGAUAAAAGUUACAAUCUUCCUUUUUCGACCACUUGUUGCAGAUUCACGCGCUACUUUCCAUUUAUUCCCGACUAUCAAGAGCAAGCAGAAAGAUCGUUUGAAUGAAACUUAUCUGUCCUCAUGGGUUACCACGUAGGAAACACCUGUGCUGAGUCAACUUCGACAGAAAAAAGUCGCCAUCGAUUUCGAAGUUUUUGUUUGCUUUUUGACAAGUCGGACAGUCGUCGCUUUAAAACCAAGUUGGAGUAAUUUGAAGCGCUCAAGUUUCUGGUCCUACAUAACGUCGACUGUGCUGUAUAAGUCUAUGAUAUAUAUUUCUAUCGAUUGUUUUGAUUAGGUUUGAUUUGACGGCUGUAUCUCACUCAGGUGUUUCGGCCCAGCAAGUUAAGCUAGACUUACCGCAUGAGUGAUCGCCACGCAAACGUUUAAUGUUUGGCAAGUGAGAAUGCUUGUAGCUUUAAAUAUGUAGCGGUGUCUUUUAGAAUGCAAGCUAGCUUGCAAUGCGAAGAUGCGUUUUGAUUAGCGUGUAGUCGGACAGUCGCCGUUUUAAAACCAAAUUGGAAUAAUUUAAAACGAUAUAAGUUUCUGGAACCUACAUAACGUCGCCUCAAAAUAUCCUGAUCGUGUUUUAAACAAUUACCAACAGUCUAUGGGAGUUGUAAGGAUAUAGUUUUUUUUUUACCUUUAGCACAUAAUAUCCAAACAUCCUGAACGUGUUUCAAACAAUUAACAACGGUAUAUCGGGCAUAUACGUAAUAACUCUUUUUAAUAAUUCUUUGAAUGUUCUUUGUUUACUAUUAAAUGGGAAGAGAAAAUAGAAUGAAAAGGUGUCUAUUUUAUAUUCUAUAUCUAUGCUUGAAGCAAACAGUGGAACAUAGGAUUAACGUAUAGACCAUAUUCCGGAAAGAAAUACGUUUGCCUCGCUUUUCUAACAACCAGUCGAUUUCAAUUAAUCAAUACAUGGUUGAUGUCUGUGCGGUAGCUGAGUUGUUAUAAACAGAUUCAGUAUACAAGCUAUUAUGUCGUGUACGGACGAAUUUUUGUAGUGUUUUAAAUCAGAAUAUUUUUUGUUAAAGUAGACUUACAAUUGGUUUAAAUUUGAUAAAACGGCUUACAGUAGUCAGUGAGAUAUUGUUAGAUCAACCGAGUAGUUAACGCUUGAAUGCGUUUCCACGAAAGCCUUUAAAGAACCAACUUUAAGAUUCUUACAUGCUGGUGGUAUACCUUAAGAGCAUUUACCAAUACAAGCAUUCAUGCCAGUCGGCUAUAAGAUAGAGUUUGUUAUGAAAGAAGCGAUCAACCUUCCGUUAAUAGAUGGCAGGAUCGGUUGCAGGAAGUUGGUUGCCGCUGAUAAAGACGACGUGGAAGAAAUGGUCACUAAAUAUUUCUGUCCCAACGAACCGUUGCGGUCGGCUUUGGAAGUUGUUUACCCGGGAAAAGUGGAUACGGAAUUCGUUCGAAAGCAUGCGGAGGAAUGCAUGAGCUGUAACUCUUCUUUAAUGGCUUACAAUAUUCAAACUGGGGAAACUGCUGGGAUUAUUCUGUGUGAAGUUCUUCGAUACAAAGACGACCAAACCAUGGACGAUGAAAAGUGGAAAGCGAAGUUUAGAAACAGAGGUGUUACUACUAUAAACGCGAAACUAUUUGAAACAUUGAACAAAAACCUUGGCAAAGUAACCGAAGGGAAAAUGUGUUUUCGAAUCUAUCUUGCAACAGUGAAUCCAAGUUACGGAAGAUUGGGCAUAAUGUCCGGGUUGGUGGAAAGGAUUGAAUUGGUCGCAAAAGAUUUGGGAUGCGACUUUAUAUUUAUGGAGUCGACGUCACUGUACACGCAACGGAUUGCAUCUAAGCUCGGUUACACGACCGAGAAUGAAAUCAAAUACUCGGGUUACUUCGACCCGUUAUCUGGAACUUAUAUAUUUAAACAUAUACCGUCACCACAUCAAUCUGUUAAACUUUUAGUGAAAGCUAUUACUUGAGUUCUGUCCAGGGUUUAUACUGUAACGAUUGAGUGUGUUUCGAGCACAGAUAUAUAUUCUAGUUUUCCAAAUUAACUU